UUUAGCUACAAGAACAAUUUAUUACCAGCUGCUUCUCUAUUCUGACCCCGUUGGGUGAAACUGCUCAGGCACUGUUCUAGGCCCGGGGAAACAGCAGAGAAGACAAAGUGCCUGCCUUCAUGGAGUUUACAUUGGGCAAGCAAAACAGACCAUCGACAUACAGGCAUAUAACCGUACGCUCUAACGGCCAGUGGCACUGUUAUGAAGAAAUUAAAACUGAGGAAGGGGUCAGAGCUGAUGAGAAAAGACGGAUGGCUUAAGGAUCUUAUUCAGGUUUCCACAAGAAGGAGCUUUCCCAGAACGGCUGCCUCACCAUGAGGCUCCAGGAGCUUUCCCAGUAC